rnacentral:rRNA from 1 species
AACUACAGUGGGCAGCAACCGGGCGACCGGUAGCUAAUCUCCAAAAGUUGUCUCAGUUCGGAUUGUUCUCUGCAACUCGAGAGCAUGAAGGCGGAAUCGCUAGUAAUCGCGGAUCAGCAUGCCGCGGUGAAUACGUUCCCAGGCCUUGUACACACCGCCCGUCACACCAUGGGAGUUGGUUUCACCCGAAGGCAGUGCUCUAACCCGCAAGGGAGGAAGCUGACCACGGUGGGAUCAGCGACUGGGGUGAAGUCGUAACAAGGUAGCCGUAGGGGAACCUGCGGCUGGAUCACCUCCUUU